rnacentral:rRNA from 1 species
AGUGAACGCUGGCGGUAGGCCUAACACAUGCAAGUCGAACGGCAGCACAGUAAGAGCUUGCUCUUACGGGUGGCGAGUGGCGGACGGGUGAGGAAUACAUCGGAAUCUACUUUUUCGUGGGGGAUAACGUAGGGAAACUUACGCUAAUACCGCAUACGACCUACGGGUGAAAGCAGGGGAUCUUCGGACCUUGCGCGAUUGAAUGAGCCGAUGUCGGAUUAGCUAGUUGGCGGGGUAAAGGCCCACCAAGGCGACGAUCCGUAGCUGGUCUGAGAGGAUGAUCGGCCACACUGGAACUGAGACAGGGUCCAGACUCCUACGGGAGGCAGCAGUGGGGAAUAUUGACAAUGGGCGCAAGCCUGAUCCAGCCAUACCGCGUGGGUGAAGAAGGCCUUCGGGUUGUAAAGCCCUUUUGUUGGGAAAGAAAAGCAGCAGGUUAAUACCCCGCUGUUCUGACGGUACCCAAAGAAUAAGCACCGGCUAACUUCGUG